rnacentral:rRNA from 1 species
UACGUAGGGUGCGAGCGUUGUCCGGAAUUACUGGGCGUAAAGAGCUCGUAGGCGGUUUUGUCGCGUCUGCCGUGAAAGUCCGGGGCUCAACUCCGGAUCUGCGGUGGGUACGGGCAGACUAGAGUGAUGUAGGGGGAGACUGGAAUUCCUGGUGUAGCGGUGAAAUGCGCAGAUAUCAGGAGGAACACCGGUGGCGAAGGCGGGUCUCUGGGCCGAUACUGACGCUGAGGAGCGAAAGCGUGGGGAGCGAACAGG